CAGCAGCCACGGUAAUACGAAGGGUGCAAGCGUUACUCGGAAUUACUGGGCGUAAAGCGUGUGUAGGUGGUUGUUUAAGUCUGUCGUGAAAGCCCUGGGCUCAACCUGGGAAUUGCGAUGGAUACUGGGCGACUAGAGUGCGGUAGAGGAUAGUGGAAUUUCCGGUGUAGCAGUGAAAUGCGUAGAGAUCGGAAGGAACAUCUGUGGCGAAGGCGACUAUCUGGGCCAACACUGACACUGAGACACGAAAGCGUGGGGAGCAAACAGGAUUAGAUACCCCAGUAGUCCCUGUCUCUUAUAC
rnacentral:rRNA from 1 species